rnacentral:lncRNA from 1 species
AGGAGUUUAGUUCCAUUUCUUAGUUAAUUUAAGGAAACUUUUUGAAGCCCCACCUUCAAAGACAACACACAACAAUUUUGCGUGUGAACUGUAAUUAAAAUUAUUUUAUUUUUAUUUAUGAUCUAAUAAUUAGAGGUACAAAUCAUGAAUUGUUGCAGAUUUCCUGAUCCGCACAAAAUAAAUUUCUACUCUAACAAAUCAAGGGGGGUGCAUAUUUGUUCAUGUAAUUUCUUUUUCUAGUUUUCCCUUUUAUGAAUGCGAGUUAUUCUAGAAAUAACGAAUUCUUUGCGUUAUAUUCUGAAGAUGACAUCUCAUCAUCUUUUGCAUCCACGGAAAUUAUGACAAAAUUGUGUGAGCAAAUGCUACUUCAUCAUGUUCCAACAGCACCCUAGCAUCAGCGUAUGAAAGUAUUGAAUCUGGUAUUUUAUUAUGUUUUCUGUUUUAGCAGUUACAGUCAAUCAUUAUUUCACAACUCAACCUGAAUACUAAUCUCCACUAGCCUUGGUAGAUUUUUGUUUAGUAUUGAUCUGUGGUUAGGCCUUCAUACUGAAGCAAUUGUGCAUCUCGUAUUUGUUCCAUCUUUCCCCUAUGACAAUAUACGUGUGACAUGAUAUACUGCUGAGGAUAUUCUCCAAUUGAGUUCAAGAUGUGAUUCAUUUCCUGAGUCACCAUUGACAGAGGACAGUCACACCACUCUUUCAAGUUCUUAUGAUUCGCUUCCAUGCCCAGGUAUUUAGAUUUAUCCUUUUUCUGAUCUUUUAUCCUGUUCAUUCUCAUUAGAUAAACUUUUUCUAAGCCCGAAUAUAUUCUUGAAUCAUGCGCAUCUGUUGAAAGGAAAUCGAAAUGUUGCUGCAAUGAAUUAUGCAUCACUUGGUCAUAGAUAUGAAAACUCUGAUGGAUGCAGUUUUAUAUGUGUGGCUCAAACAAAACUUGUUUUGGCAUCAUGGGAGGAUGUUCUUGGAAAUUGUACUGCAGGCAUCAAAAUAAAACUUGUUUUGGCAUCAUGGGAUGAUGUUUUUGGAAAUUGUACUGCAGGCAUGAAAAUAUAAAUUUAAAUCCAUCCUUUUCAUUUCAGUUAGUUAAAAAUUAAUUAAUAAUUAAGUGGACUUUGAGUUUUGGACACGUGAAACUUACAACGGGAAUCUGGGUGUUUACUAUUAGUCCAAGUACAUUGGCAGGUUGUUAGUUAUUCUUCCCAUAUUCUUACCAGACAUACAUAACCUGCAUACCUCUAAAUGUUUCUUAAAAUUUCCAAACAUCCUUGAGCUAAACCUAUGAUGCCUUGCACAGGGCAACAGAUCAUUGCCCCUUUAUUUCUUUAAUAUUCAUCAUGCAAUUCUCAGUGUUGAAAUGUUAAAACUAUCAACCACAAGACUAGAAUCAAGCUAAUUAUCUACUUGGAUUGCAUGAAAAUGACAAUUACUUCCAAGUUUGUAUUCAUCUGCUUUUUUGAAAUUUUUGUUAUAGCAUCAUCGUAUUCACUCAUCCUUUUUCCAUAUGAUGCUAGGUUGCAUUUUUCCCCCAUCCAUUAUAUUCUUAAAUUGAUUUCGUUCUUCUGGUUUGCAUUGUAUUGAAGACAGUGCAUAAUUUGUGUGCUUCAACACGACGUAAAAUUUGAUCUUUGAUAUAGCUCACGAUUAAGAAAGUGAUUAGUUAGUGGGGAAAAAAAAAUCCCUGUUCCUUAAAAUUAGCUGAAUGUUGUCGAGUCAUUUUACCUUUUUUCAUUAACAGGAAAAUCCAUCCGAGCAAAUUAAACUUUAGAUGCUGAACUUGCAUUCAGAUAUUGGGAAGCUGAUGAAGCCACGUGUUAAGAAUGAUAUUGCUCCUCUUGGUACAGAAAACUACACUUUAUUACUGAAGAAGCCCCUGAUAAGUGGGUUAUGAAUGGAAGAAGGCUUGGAGAAGGUUGACAGCUUUUCCUGUUGGGGUGACAAUGGACGUGGAGAAGCUGAUGAAUUGCAUAUGAGAGUAUUAUGGGGGCUGAGGAUUAUGCUACUACGCCAGCUCAAAUACAAGAGGAUUUGGAUGCACUCAGUCCUCUCUCCCAUGACUAGCUAUUUAGCAUGAUUGAUUUUUCACCCAACUGGGCUUACUCAAACUUGGAGACUAAGGUAAUUAACGAACUAGUUUUAUCAACUAAACAAUAAUUGUCUGUACGCCUUGUUUCAGAGAGAGAGAGAGAGAUAAAAAAAAAAAAAAAAAAAAAGGAAUAUGCAUGAUAUUUUUGGUUUUUAAUCUACUUCCAGCUUUCUGUUUAUCCAUAAUCGUAUAGAACAAGUUAUUGGCAGUGCUGAUAUUUAUGGCUAAAUUUUCACCCAUGUAAAGAAUUUCGGUUGUUCAGUAUUGUGUUUUUUCUUGGCCAACUUUUCUCCUGUCUAAAGAUCAUGCAUUUAUGCCUAUUGUUGUCAUUAAUAUCUCAUCUUUUGUAACCACAAAGCAGGUCCUGAUAGCUGGAACAUUUCUCAAGAAUUAUUUUGUGCUUCUUGUCAUUAAUAUCAGUAUUGUGCUUGUUGAUAUCAUGAUUUGUUUUUCAUCCUGUACUACAUAGUGUGAGUAAGCCAGAAUAAUUUUUUUGUCUCAUGAUCGGUAAAUUUUGACAUUUCAUUUUUGGUUUACUUAAGUGGAUAUAGCGACCCAGUAAUUGUAGGGGUAUGUUUGCAAUUUAUUCUAACAUGGGUUGCUAGUUUGUGCAUUAAAAUUUGAACUUGAGCAUUUUUAUAAAGUUUAAACUGUAAUAAUUUUUUUUUUCAAAAAAAAAAAAAAUUAUUGUUAUAAGAAUCAGUAAUUUUAUUUUUUUUUAAGAUUUUAAUUCAAAUUAGAAAAGGAAAUAGGAAUGGAAAUUCGUCGCUAAUUAGUGGCGACUCAAUUUUGUCGGUAGUUAGCGGCGGAUGAAGUUGCUGCCAAUAUCAUCAUUAAAUCAAAUCCAUCAGUAAUUAUCAUUCGAUAAUUUGUUGCUAAUUUGUCAGCAAUUAGCAAUGGAUUUUCACACUCGUUUCUAAAUUGACGGCACCAUUUUCAAGACUGUUUUAGCGAUGGAAAAUAGCUGUCGGUAAAGCCUUUCACUAAUGAAAAUCAAGGCCUUAGUGACGGCAAAGCCACCUUUUUUGGUAAUACACAGAAGUCAAGUACAUCACACGUGCUUUGCACUAGUUGUAAUAAGCAAAGUCGAUAUGUUUUCUAGAUUUAAUUAUCAAUACCUUGUACCAAUAUUGUACAAAUUGGAUCAAAAUGAAUCAAGCAUUUUAAAGAAGUCAAGUGCAUCACACGUGCUCUGCACUAGUUGUAAUAAGCAAAGUCGACAAGUUUUCUAAAUUUAAUUACCAAUAUUGUGCAAAUUGGAUCAAAAUGAAUCAAGCAUUUUAAAGAAGUCAAGUGCAUCACACGUGCUCUACACUAGUUGUAAUAAGCAAAGUCGACAAGUUUUCUAAUUUUAAUUAGGGAAAAUUGCAGUCGAGGUACCAAACCUUUCGUUUAUUAGCAGACUUUGCCCAAACUUUUAGUUUGUGCCAACCACAUUCUCAAACCUUUCAAAAAUAUGCACCGAAAGUUCAAAUGGAUGGAAACCGUCCACUUGACCAUUAGUCGACCAAUAAAACUGAAUUUUGACCAAUUUUUGACCAACUUAAAAGGGUAGAAAGGUAAAUUUGCUAUUUAAUUCUAUAAUAAAACAAAUAAACUAAUAUACCAAAUAAAAAUAAUAGAAACUACUAUUCAUCUUCUUCUUCCCCACACCCCACCCCGACAAUGUUUUGGAAUACAAUCCACAAACAUAUCCUUAGUCAGCCAUUUGGACAAGUUAUCACGCCACCUAGAAAUUAUAUGAUUCCAAACCAAUAUAUGAUUAACCUGCUCUAUUCAGCCCACAUCCUUAACCACCUCAGCAUCUACUUCUUCGCCAAUAAGUGAAUCGCCUGGAAACCUACAGUCAAGGCUAUUGAGGCCUCCUCUUUGGCUCUAUCAUUAAUCACAAUUAUGUCAUCUAACACAAUAUUUACAGUUUUCUUGACCAAGUUGCUAGAAAUUGAACUCGGGCUAGGGUUCAUUUCAAAUGAAUUAUGCAAAUUUUCUAGCUUGAUUUUUUUAGUUUGGGCUGAAUUUAAAUUUAACGAGUUCCCAAAGCUACUAGUAUUUAACAAAGAGAUCAAUUUGUGUACCUGGUAUGUAGACAUUGUCGGAGUACGGGGUCUUUCGUGCCUUCUUUUUCUGGGUAUUGGUUGUGAAAUGAAGUCAUUUUGGACUAAAUAGGGAUGCAAAUCUGGGCGAUUUUUGUUGGAUUUGGAAUCGAAAUUAGGGUCUGAGGAAGGUAAAUGAACGGUUAAUUGCACGGGAUUGCCGGACUCGUUAGUGACACGAGAAUGAGGGGUUUGAUUUGAUGAAUCCAUUUGAGUGUUUUUGCUGAGAGGGCUUCACUUUACAAAAAAAAUUGGCUUUCUUGCGAGUUGCUAAGGAGAGGUGGAAAUAGUGGUAAACAUCAGUUUUUCGAAGCAAGAAGCCCAGUUCUUCCAGCAUUAUUUAUUGGGAAAAUUGUAGCAGCAGUGGGGUGGGGUGGUGAGGGGAAGAAGAAGAUGAAUAGCAAUUUCUUUUAUUUUUAUUUGGUAUAUUAGUUUAUUUGUUUUAUUAUAGAAUUAAAUAGCAAAUUUACCUUUCUACCCUUUUAAGUUGGUCAAAAAUUGGUCAAAAUUCAAUUUGAUUGGUCAACUAACUGUCAGACGGACGGUUUCCAUCCAUUUGAACCCCCGGUGCAUAUUUUUGAAAGGUUUGAAACUGUGGGUGGCACAAACUAAAGGUUUGGGCAAAGUCUGUUAAUAAAUGAAAUGUUUUGUACCUCGGCUGCAAUUUUUCCAUUUUAAUUAUCAAUACCUUAUACCAAUAUUGUACAAAUUGGAUCAAAAUGAAUCAAGCAUUUUAAUUUACGUGGAAAAAUCAAGAUAAUUGUCUUUUGCACAGGUAUUCGUGUGUGUGUGUGUGUGUGUGUAAUCUUGAACUGUGUACCCUCAAUAAUUUAGUAAUUAUUUCGAGUGAUCGACUCAAACAUAUUUUUAUGUUGGAUAAUUUAAUUUUAACCAUAUAUGAUGUGUUCAAUGACUAAAAAGGAGAUAAAACUUCUUUUUUUUCAUUUAUUAGGAAACUUUUAAGGCUCCAUUUUUCUUUUGAUAUAACUAGUAUUGAAUUGAAUACUGAACUUAAAAAUAAUUAUCAAAUAUUAUGAAUUUUACGAAGUCAAAAAAAGAAAAAGAAGCUGAAUUCAAAUGUUUUAUAUUAUAAAAUUAUUUAUUAAAAAAUGCAUUAGUUGUAACACUAUCAAGCACUUAUCGAAGACAAGAAUUUAAGCUCAUCUCAAAUUCAAACCAUUAAAAAUUGAUUUUAGAGAAAUUAGAUAUUCUUCUCAUUAAAACGAUCUCAAAAUAUGUAAAUAUGCUUCUAUUUUGAUUUGUUGAUGGUACAGAAUUUUUUAUUUUUUUUUGAACAUUUACAAAAAAAAUUUGUUUCAUAAGAUUAUUUUAACUGAAUAUUGAUGAAUUAAGAAUUUCAUGAAAUAUUUGUCUAUUAAAUACACGAUAAAGUGAAAGCAUGUGUAUCACACGUGCUUGAAGGCUGACAAGUUAUUGUCUUUAACUUUCAUUACCUUUUACUAGUAUUGAAAAGACUGGAUCAAAACAAAACAAGCAUUUUAGUUUACAUGGAAAAAUCAAGAUAAAUGUCAUGUGCACUAAUCUUAGUGUACAGAAAACAAGAAAUAUUGUAAUCUUUGGCUACGUACCCUCAAAAAUUAUAUAAUUAUUUCUAGCAAUUCAUUUAUAUAUAUGAUGUAUUCAAUAAAUGAAAAGGAUAUAAAAAUUUAAAUCAUCUAUUUGAAACUUUUAAUGGCUCAAUUUUUCUUUUGUUCUAACUCAUAUAGAAUUAAAUGCCGAACAAAUUCAAAAUAUUUAUUAAAUAUUUUGAAUUUUACAAAGUCGUGAUAGUAAAAACUGAAUUCAAAUAUAUUAUGCUAUAAAAUUAUUUAUUAAAUGCAAUAGUUGCAACCCUAUCAAGCGCUUAGUGAACAUGAGAAUUCAAGCUCAUCUCAAAUUCAAACUAUUAAAAAAUUGAUUUUUGAGAAAACAGAUAUUCUUCUUAUGAACCCAUCUCAAAAUAUGUAAGUAUGCUUCUAUUUUAAUUUGUUGAUGGUACAUAAUUUUAUUUUAUUUUUUUUUGGAAAAUUUACAUAAAAGUAUCGAUUCAAUCUUGUUUGAUUAUUCUUUGGAUCCCUAUUUAUUUCAUCUUGUAUUAUAUUUUCUCGAAAUAAAUUUCUUCCAUCUUUUCACAUAUUUAUUCUAAAUAUUCAUGAAUUAAAAAUUUCAUGAAUUCUUCAACUCUAUUAAAUACACAAUAACAUAAGAAGAACGUGCAUCCCAUGCGCUUUACCCUAGAUGUAAUAAGAAAAGUUUUCAAGUUAUUACCUUUAAUUUUCAUCACCUUUUUACAACUAUUUUCAAAAAUUGGAUCAAAAUGAGCCAGGCAUUUUUAUCUACAUCGAAAAUUCAAGAUAAAUGUCUUGUUCACUAGUCUUCAAGUAUAGAUAACCAAAGAAAAAAAAAUUGUAAUUUUCAACUGUGCACCUCAGUAAUUAUUUCGAGUGGUCCAUUCAUAGAUCGACUUUUUUUUCAGGUCAUUUUGAAAACCCAAGAAUAGCUUACCAAGACGGGGACAAAUUGGUUAUUAAAAACGUUUUUAAAAAAUAAUUCUAAAUUUAAACAAAUUUAAAAGCAAAUAAGUCAAUCAAACAAAUAUACACAAAUACGAAAGCAAUAAGUAAAAGGGAAGAGAGUGUGCAAAUGAUGUAAUUGUGAAGGUUUGAUCACAACCAAUGAUCUACGUCCUCUACCCAAGCUCUCCGUCACGAGCAAGACACUUUUUACUAUAUUGAUUGACUUAUAGUGCAAUUCAACUUUUUACAACGCUUCCGAUGACUUACAACCAAUGAACACAAAUCCUUUUACAAUAUAAGGCUUUACGGGACCUUUAUAUGACCCAAAAAUUCAAAGAGUAAUUGAAUUUACGAUUUGAAAUUCUCUCUUAAUAAAUGAUAUAAUCAACAUUAAGCACCAAGAGAGAUAUAGGCUAAGACUUUUAUGAAUAGUAGUGAAUGAAGAAUGAUUUCCAAAAGUUAAUUCAAUCAAAAAAAUUUCAAAAUAAAUGAUUUGAUUUGAUGAAGAUAAACGAAGAGUGUAAUAAUUUUGUUCAAAAAUAUCUCACUUUAAUGCUCAUGAAAAUCUUGCAAGAGAAUGAAAAAUGAGGUGGUAUUUAUAGCAGUUAAAACGUUAAAAGCUCUUACCAACCGGACGGCUCAACUAGACGUCCGCUUUUGAACUGUACACUGAACUAGUCAUUGUACGUUAGAAUUUUAGAAUGGUUAAAAAAUUGACUGUUGGACGAACCAGAUGCCCACUAGGUCAAUGGACGUUCGCCUGAAUAGCAUUUUUCCUAGAGUUUUUUUCUUUGAUUGUUUUAAUAAAUAUAGACUUUUGAAGGACAUUUCACUUAAUUUUUCAAGGUAAGUGAUUGAAGUUCUUGCUUUUGAAACAAUAAUUUUUAUGUAAGUAUGUUCAUGAAAUAAUUUUCUGGUGCAAAAAAUUAUCUUGAGCUUUUGAUGGUUCAUUGCUAAAGAUUAAAGCAUUUUACCUUUACAUAUGAAUUCAAAAAUUCUAAGUCCGAUAUCUUCGAUGUUUUAACGUUAAAGUGCUCAUCUUGUAAAUUUGGUAUCCAUGCUCAGUUUUCAUCUCGAUUUUCAUUGGGCAUCAAUUUGCGAGUCUUUUGAAAGCAACCUUUUUUAUCUUCAGUUGUUCAACUUUGCAACAAUAGCUAUAACAGCUUGAAUUCAAAUGUUAGAGAUAAAAACAUUUUGUUUGUUAUAAUCAAAACAUAGAAUCAACUAUAGGUCAACAAUUUCUCCCUUUUUGAUUAUGACAAACAAAAAAUGAUUUGCAAUAAUUUUAUAAGCGAAGAAACGCUUUAGAUAUUCACAUAUAGUUCAGGUAUUCCUCAUAUCUCUUAUAAAUGUAUUCCUCCUAUCUUGUUUAUCUUAUAUACAUCGAUCAAUGCAUAUCAUCUCAUAUUAUUUUCCCUCUUGGCAUAAGCAAAAAAAUAAUGACGUGGGGAUCUAAGUGCACAAGCAUAGAUCAAAAAUCAACCAUUGGCACAAGAGUUUUCAUUGGAGAUGCCACAUAAUAUCCGAUGAUUGAAUUCAAGUUAUAAAAGGAUAAUAAAAUAUCUAGAAUAUAGAAACGCACAAAAAAAAUAAAAAUCAAAAGCUAAUACUAUGGCUUAGGAGGUGGUGGCAGAAGAAAGUGGCAUAGAAGUGAGUAUGGAAGGUAUUUUGCUGAGCCUACAUCGUCGCCUAUUGCAUUUGAAUGGCAUCCUGUUGUGCUUGACUUGUGGUCUAUUGAACCUGAAACUGGUGAAGCAGUCCACCAAGGCCUUCAACAGAUAAAGUAAGAGAAUUAAUGUGGCCGUUUAGAACAAUGCAGUGACCUUUAUUAAAUGUGAAGCCAAUUGUUGGCCAUGCUACCUAACUCACAUGAGCAAACAAAACAAAAACCAAAAAACAAAAAAAAAAUAGUUUUUUUCUUGAAAUUUUUCAAAUGGUUGCUUGGGUGGAUUAUGUAGUUUAAAAUCUCACGUGUAUCCUCUAACCUUACAAUCAGCUCAUCCUUCUCCAUGUAAGGUUCGACUUCUUUGCUAAAAAAGGUCGACGAGAUUGUUGGCAUAUUUUGGUCAUCUCUGAGGUCCAUAAUAAUGAAGUGCAUCAAGAAUAUCAGCUUCCCACCUCGAUCAGCACAUCAACCUUGCCCUAUGGGUAUCUAAUGCUCCUGUCUACCCGCUGUAGUGUCACAUUCGAUCAUUUGACUUCUCCCACUCCUAGUUUCCUGAAAAUAGACAAAGACACUAAAUUUACCUUUGCACCUAUAUCACAUAACACAUUAAAUGAAAUCCUUUGCCUAUUGAAGUAGGUCAAGUGAAAGUCCCUGAAUCCUAAAGUUUUGGUGGCAAUUUAUUUUGUAGCCUUUCAAUGUUCUCGCCGAUCAAUGCCACUUCUUAGUCCUUGUUUAACUUUGACUUCGACAAUAUGACUUUUGAUUUUUGACUAGUAAAAUUUGGGUUGUAACAUUUUAUUUCCUUAACUUUUUGCUAUUUUAGCUUGAACUUGCACACGGAGGGAAAGGAUCAUCUUAUGAUCGGUAUAGUAGUUAUAGCAGUGGAAGGAGUCAUGGUGAACUUUCAUGGAGUCUGACUAUAGAGGUAGGUUCUAUUGUAGUCGUGGUGGACUUUCAAGGAGUUCUAACUAUAGAGGUAGGUUCUAUUUUACUCUCUCUCUCUCUCUCUCUCUCUCUCUCUGUUACUCUUUACUUCUUAUGUUGACAGUGACUCUUGAAAAUAUUAUCUUUUUUUAAUGCCAAUACAUUUGUAGUUUUGGUGAUUGGACUGCCUUCUUCUGCUUUAUGGAAAAACUUAAGGUAACAGAAUUCAAUCUUCUUUAUUAUGUAGUGUUAAAAGGGAGACUUGUGCCUUGCUGCAGGUGUCUUUUAAUAUAUUGUAGCUACUAGGACAACAUGCAUUGAGCCCCGGAUGUUUGCUUUUCUCAAGUUUACUGCGAUCGAUAUGGUAAAUCUUUUUUUCUUUAAAACAUUCAUAUUUUAUUGUUAUUAGGUAGAAUUUCUUGUUGCAUUAAAUUAAUACAAAUUAUUAUUUUAUUAGCUUGGAGGCCUCUUGUGCAUGGGUAGAGAGGUGAGGGGUAGCAUAUUCUUCUAAGUAAACAAAGAAAAUGAACUGGCUAAGCUGCUACGGAAAUUAUGCAUCUACGCCAAGUAUGAAUUCAUAGAUGCUCCUCCCCCACACCAACAAUACCUAAAGAAAAGUUAUGCUUGCCCAUGCUACUUAAUUUCUCAUUUUAGGAUACUGUCAUAAAAAUAGAUCACUAACCCAAUGUCAUAAACAUAAAGGUUGUUUAGUAAAUCACUUAUUCAGUAUUACGAGCUUAUAGGUUGUAUAUAAAUCAUAGUUAUGUUCUUCUGAAUUUUUUUAGUGGGAAAAAAAAAAUCCCUGUUCCUUAAAAUUAGCUGAAUGUUGUGGAGUCAUUUUACCUCUUUUCAUUAACAGGAAAAUCCAUCCGAGCAAAUUAAACUUUAGAUGCUGAACUUGCAUUCAGAUAUUGGGAAGCUGAUGAAGCCACGUGUUAAGAAUGAUAUUGCUCCUCUUGGUACAGAAAACUACACUUUAUUACAGAAGAAGCCCCUGAUAAGUGGGUUAUGAAUGGAAGAAGGCUUGGAGAAGGUUGACAGCUUUUCCUGUUGGGUUGACAAUGAACGUGGAGAAGCUGAUGAAUUGCAUAUGAGGGUAUUAUGGGGGCUGAGGAUUAUGCUAGUAUGCCAGCCCAAAUACAAGAGGAUUUGGAUGCACUCAGUCCUCUCUCCCAUGACUAGCUAUUUAGCAUGAUUGAUUUUUCACCCAACUGGGCUUACUCAAACCUGGAGACUAAGGUAAUUAACGAACUAGUUUUAUCAACUAAACAAUAAUUGUCUGUACGCCUUGUUU